GCGCCGGGCCCGUGAGGGGAAAGGCGGCGGGAGCAGGAGAGAGGUGAGGGGGUACCGGGAUAUCUCGAUAGGCGCCGCGAAAGACAGCGGGAUAUCGGGAUAGCGACCGCGAUACACAGCGCGAUGCAUUCCGCGAUCGACACCAGGAUAGACACCGGAAUAUCGAUCCUGCUGAGCUUCAAGGACCUGCUAAGACCUGACCCCAGAGCACCAGUGGGCGCCCGAAAUGCACACCUGGACCCCAAAAUGCGCAGCUGGACCCCAAAAUCCUAUAAAGCACCCCAUAAAGCCUGAACCCCCAAACCCGGAGAUACCUGAAGUACACCUGAACUCCAGGGGGUUUGGGGGGUCCCGAGACCCCCUGUUUUUGGGUUUUGGGGUGUCCCUGGGUGGUGUUUGGGGUUCCCAGGGUGGUGGCCCCACUUUUGGGGUUUUGGGGUGUCCCUGAGUGGUAUUUGGGGUUUUCCCAGGGCUGUGACCCCUCCUGUUUUGGGAUUUUCGGGUUUCGCAGGGUGGUGACCCCCCAUUUUUGGGGUCUUGGGGUGUCCCUGGGUACUGUUUGGGGGUCCCAGGGCUGUGACCCCACUUUUGAGGUUUUGGGGUGUCCUAGGGCAGUGACUCCCCUGUUUUAAUCCCCCCAGAUGGAAGCCUACCCCCUUUGUCCCCAAAUGGGAGUCACCAAAACCGAGGGGGGGGGUCCCCAAAAGACCCAGGAGGGGGCCCCAGCCCCCCCCAAGGCUUUGUUGUAAAUGAGUUUGGGACGAACCAAUAAAGUUUGGGAGAAAAAU